GUCGACCGGCGCACGGGUGAGUAACGCGUAUCCAACCUGCCCACCACUUGGGGAUAACCUUGCGAAAGUAAGACUAAUACCCAAUGAUAUCUCUAGAAGACAUCUGAAAGAGAUUAAAGAUUUAUCGGUGAUGGAUGGGGAUGCGUCUGAUUAGCUUGUUGGCGGGGUAACGGCCCACCAAGGCGACGAUCAGUAGGGGUUCUGAGAGGAAGGUCCCCCACAUUGGAACUGAGACACGGUCCAAACUCCUACGGGAGGCAGCAGUGAGGAAUAUUGGUCAAUGGGCGAGAGUCUGAACCAGCCAAGUAGCGUGCAGGAUGACGGCCCUAUGGGUUGUAAACUGCUUUUAUAAGGGAAUAAAGUGAGUCUCGUGAGACUUUUUGCAUGUACCUUAUGAAUAAGGACCGGCUAAUUCCGUGCCAGCAGCCGCGGUAAUACGGAAGGUCCGGGCGUUAUCCGGAUUUAUUGGGUUUAAAGGGAGCGUAGGCCGGAGAUUAAGCGUGUUGUGAAAUGUAGACGCUCAACGUCUGCACUGCAGCGCGAACUGGUUUCCUUGAGUACGCACAAAGUGGGCGGAAUUCGUGGUGUAGCGGUGAAAUGCUUAGAUAUCACGAAGAACUCCGAUUGCGAAGGCAGCUCACUGGAGCGCAACUGACGCUGAAGCUCGAAAGUGCGGGUAUCGAACAGGAUUAGAUACCCUGGUAGUCCGCACGGUAAACGAUGGAUGCCCGCUGUUGGUCUGAACAGGUCAGCGGCCAAGCGAAAGCAUUAAGCAUCCCACCUGGGGAGUA
rnacentral:rRNA from 1 species